AAACCCCAAGAUAUACAACAGCCACAAUACACAAUGCAUAACCUUUUUCUCACGUCUUCUUCUUCAACGUUUGAACAAAGAACCAAAAUAAUGGUCUGGCCUUCAAGUUUUGUUUCAGGUGUUUGAACAACACAGACCCUCCCAUAACGAUCUCAUCUUCCUCAUAAACCCUAGCAACCUAGCUCCAACCACCAAGCUACCGCUGCCGCUUCUCCUUCCUAUAAACCUCCAGCGAGCUUCCUCGUCUUCUUAGUAAAAAACCAGAAAAAAAACACUAGGAUGGCUCACCUUUGAACAAAAACAAAAGCGACCCCCUCUCCCAUGGGCUGGCGAUGAAGGAUCACCUAUACAACAAACCCAGCUGAAAACCCUCACGUAAAUCAACUCAAAACAGUUCCCUUUCACACGAAAAACAGCUCCAAAACUCACUUCAAAACAAUCACAACUUCACCCAAAAUCAGUACCAAAAUUUCGGCCGAGUUCGUGUUGAGCCCGUUCAAGAUCUUCGAGUUGCGUUCGCGGUUCAGAUUCGAGUUCGCCAGCUCUAACUGGUUCCUGGUUGGAAAUCCAUGUAUGCUUCUGAAAGUUUCAAUAAAAAUCUGACUAUGCUAUUCUAAGGAUCAACUAUUCACUCCUCUGUUUAUUUUUUUCCUAUUUAACUUUAUGUGUUGUUUUGGUAGUAUUGCUCUUUGCUUCGUGAUCUAUCAUUGGUCUUAGUUUUAUUUUAUUUUAUUGUUUCUUUUAUCACUAUUAAAAUUUACAGGGAUUCAACUUUGUUUUGAGUAAAUUAAUUAAGGAAGAUAUGUAGGUUGUAGCUAUUAGCUAAAUAAUUAGAAUGAUGGUUUAUGCUGGAUAAUGAAUGAAAUGGGACAUUUAGGUGUUUUGGCAUCGUAGAAAAAGCGGUGGUUUAAAUUUGGGCUUAAUAUGAUUUUAUUAAUAUCUUAUUUUUGCCUUAGUCAAUUAAAGCGUUAGAAUAUUUCAGGGACGUUAUUAAUUCAACUAUCAUAAUUAUGGACACGUUCGCGUGACAUAUUUACGACUUUUAAAAUAAAUCGAGGUGUGCCAUACACAAACAAAAAUCUCAAAACCCAUGGCCCUCAAAAGUAGUUCCAACAUCCUUUGAAAUUAAAAUCUGAGGUGUGCUAUUUAGUUGAAUUUUUCAUGGCCUCCCGCAAAGUUAACAACGCGUUAGCUAUUUGAGGCGCAUUAUUUUUAAUAACUCAUCUUCCUAAACUCGGGUGCGCAUUUAUGUGACCAAUAUCCAAAUCCUAACAAUGUUAUAUAAAAUGUGUUGCGAACUACAUGUGCAUUUAUGUGACGCGGUUCAAAACGCGUUUUAUGUGAUGUUGAAUUUUUCUUAAAAUCGAAUAAAAGCGGUUAUAAAGUUUAAAAGUUGCACAUAGGUUUAAAAUGUACUAAAAUUAGAUAAUUAAGCUGAAUAGAACAAUUGAGCGACCGUGCUAGAACCAGGGAACUCGGGAAUGCCUAACACCUUCUCCCGAGUUAACAGAAUUCCUUACCCGGAUUUCUGGUUCGCAGACUGUAAUACAGAGUCAACCAUUUUCCUCGAUUCGGGAUGUAAAUCGGUGACUUGGAACACCAUUAAUUAUCCCAAGUGGCGACUCUGAAAUCUUUAAAUGAAUAAAUCUCGUUUCGAUUGUCCUUUAAUUGGAAGAACUCCUAUAUCUAUGCCCUUCGUGGGGUGUAGUAGUAAAAAGGAGGUGUAACAAUUGUUGAGUAUGACGUAUAUGCAUGGUGACAAGUAUCUAUACGUCGAUAUCAAGCAUGCAUGUGAGUCUUAUACUAUGAUAAAUGUGACUCCGUUUCGUAUUGUUUAUGCUUUAUAUGAUAAUUUUUAUUGUUGAACAAGGUUUGUGGAAGUGUUAUUGGUAAUUGAACAUUGUGGGGCGUUGGCUCAAGUUGUGAUUUGAGUUGUGAAAUAAUUGUUGAAAAGUGAAAAGGUUCAUAAUAUUGUUUCCCUUGUUGGGAUGUUAUUGCUUUUGAUCUUAUCUUGUCGGGAUGUUAUUGCUUUUGAUAUUGUUUUUCUUGCCCGAAUAUUGUUGUUAUGAUAUUGUUCCCUUGACGAGAUUCUAUUAUGAUUUUAUUAAUUUCCUUUCCCGUAUCACUUUGUGAUUGUUAAUUGGGUAAGGAAGAGUGUAAAAGCACGGAUGGUAAUGCCGUGCACGAUAUUUGUGACGAAGGAUGAUGUUGUGCCGAUAUUGUGAGAUUAAAGCACGAAAGGCGAUGUCGUGCCGCAUGAGUACAAUAUUGUGCCAUGAUAUGAGUGAUAAUGCACGAAAGUUAUAUUCUUGCCAUGAUUAUGUGAGGUAAAAACAUGAACGGUGAUGUCAUACAGAUUAUAUUGGUUCUUAUGGUGAGGACGAGAGUAAAAAUAUGAAUUUUGAUGCCGAGCAAAUUGGGUUAUGGUGUUCCUUACAUUAUUUAUUGAUUUUAUGUUAUUACUUGAUAUUCCCUGCAUGAUGUCCCCCCUCCCCCUCUUAUCCUUAACUGUAAAUUUCUAUCUUUACUUUUCCGUUGUAUAUAAUUUAACUGCACAAGUUUAUUUGGUAGUCUGGUCCUAGCCUCGUUACGACUUCGUCGAGGUUAGGCAGGCACUUACCAGCAUAUGGGUUCGGUUGUACUGAUACUACACUCUGCAUUGUGUGCAGAUCCCACUGCUGCAGCUGUUGGACCACAAUGAGGUUGCAUCUUCCAGUCCAUCAGGCGACCUGAGAUAGUCCUGUAGGCGUCCGCAGACCUUGGCGCCUCCUUCUAUCAUUUCCUUCCUACUUUCUUACUUAUUCAGAGACAGAUUCGUGUAUUUCUGUUCUGAAUUUAUUUGUGGUAUUCAUAAAUGAUCCGUGACAUUGUGCCACCAGAUUCUGGGUAGAGUUGUACUUAGACUUCCGC
rnacentral:lncRNA from 1 species